CCUACGGGCGGCAGCAGUGAGGCAUAUUGGUCAAUGGACGAGAGUCUGAACCAGCCAAGUAGCGUGAAGGAUGACUGCCCUAUGGGUUGUAAACUUCUUUUAUAUGGGAAUAAAAUGUUCCACGUGUGGGAUUUUGUAUGUACCAUAUGAAUAAGGAUCGGCUAACUCCGUGCCAGCAGCCGCGGUAAUACGGAGGAUCCGAGCGUUAUCCGGAUUUAUUGGGUUUAAAGGGAGCGUAGGUGGAUUGUUAAGUCAGUUGUGAAAGUUUGCGGCUCAACCGUAAAAUUGCAGUUGAAACUGGCAGUCUUGAGUACAGUAGAGGUGGGCGGAAUUCGUGGUGUAGCGGUGAAAUGCUUAGAUAUCACGAAGAACUCCGAUUGCGAAGGCAGUUCACUGGACUGCAACUGACACUGAGGCUCGAAAGUGUGGGUAUCAAACAGGAUUAGAUACCCCUGUAGUC
rnacentral:rRNA from 1 species